UUAAAGACUUUGAUGGAAAUUAGUAGAGAUAUAGUUAUUAACAGGAAGUUGUUGUCGUUGAUUGAAAGCAACAAUAAUAAUUAGUCUCGAAUUUCACUUCCGGAGUCGAUACUUAAACAGUAUUCCGGUUGAUAACCGUUAAGAAUUAACUUAAGUGUGUGUCUGUUUGGACACAAACUAGGGUGGUACCGCGAUGCUUCGUCCCUUUU
rnacentral:ncRNA from 1 species